UACAGAGGGGGCAAGCGUUGUUCGGAAUUACUGGGCGUAAAGGGCGCGUAGGCGCCCGCUAAGUCGAACGUGAAAUCCCCGAGCUCAACUCGGGAACUGCGUCCGAUACUGGCGGGCUUGAAUCCGGGAGAGGGAUGCGGAAUUCCAGGUGUAGCGGUGAAAUGCGUAGAUAUCUGGAGGAACACCGGUGGCGAAGGCGGCAUCCUGGACCGGCAUUGACGCUGAGGCGCGAAAGCUAGGGGAGCAAACGGG
rnacentral:rRNA from 1 species